CAGAACCUCCUGGAGAGUCAUCAAUGAAGACCUAAGCCUCAAGUGGUAAUGGAGAGAUUCUGCGGAGCCCAAGUAAUGUGCAUGAAUAUUGCGUAACAUUCUGUGGACGCAUACAAUAUUGUAGAAAUAAUUUAAUUGACAACCUGUAAUGAAAAGAGCGCUGGGCCAUCUCAGAACCCUGG